UACAGAGGGUGCGAGCGUUAAUCGGAAUUACUGGGCGUAAAAGCGCGCGUAGGCGGCUUUUGCAAGUCGAGUGUGAAAUCCCCAGGCUUAACCUGGGAACUGCAUUCGAGACUGCAUAGCUAGAGUAUGGGAGAGGGAAGUGGAAUUUCAGGUGUAGAGGUGAAAUUCGUAGAUAUUCGCAAAGAACACCAGUGGCGAAGGCGGCUCACUGGCCCGAUACUGACGCUGAGGCACGAAAGCGUGGGGAGCAAACAGG
rnacentral:rRNA from 1 species